rnacentral:rRNA from 1 species
CAGCCGCACGGUAAUACGAAGGGGGCUAGCGUUGUUCGGAUUUACUGGGCGUAAAGCGCACGUAGGCCGACUUUUAAGUCAGGGGUGAAAUCCCGGGGCUCAACCCCGGAGCUGCCUUUGAUACUGGGAGUCUUGAGUUCGAGAGAGGUGAGUGGAAUUGCGAGUGUAGAGGUGAAAUUCGUAGAUGUUCGCAGGAACACCAGUGGCGAAGGCGGCUCACUGGCUCGAUACUGACGCUGAGGUGCGAAAGCGUGGGGAGCAAACAGGAUUAGAUACCCCUGUAGUCCCUGUCUCUUAUACA